rnacentral:rRNA from 1 species
CUUUGAUCAUGGCUCAGGACGAACGCUGGCGGCGCGCCUAACACAUGCAAGUCGAACGGAGAUUACAGGCGGAAGUUUUCGGAUGGAAGCUUGUAAACUUAGUGGCGGACGGGUGAGUAACACGUGAGCAACCUGCCUAUCAGAGGGGGAUAACGAUUGGAAACGAUCGCUAAUACCGCAUGACAUAGCGGAACCGCAUGGUUCUGUUACCAAAGAUUUUAUCGCUGAUAGAUGGGCUCGCGUCCGAUUAGAUAGUUGGUGGGGUAACGGCCUACCAAGUCGACGAUCGGUAGCCGGACUGAGAGGUCGAACGGCCACAUUGGGACUGAGACACGGCCCAGACUCCUACGGGAGGCAGCAGUGGGGGAUAUUGCACAAUGGGGGAAACCCUGAUGCAGCGACGCCGCGUGAGGGAAGACGGUCCUCUGGAUUGUAAACCUCUGUCUUCGGGGACGAAACGAGACGGUACCCGAGGAGGAAGCCACGGCUAACUACGUGCCAGCAGCCGCGGUAAUACGUAGGUGGCAAGCGUUGUCCGGAAUUACUGGGUGUAAAGGGAGCGUAGGCGGGCAGGCAAGUCAGGCGUGAAAUAUAUCGGCUCAACCGGUAACGGCGCUUGAAACUGCAGGUCUUGAGUGAAGUAGAGGUUGGCGGAAUUCCUAGUGUAGCGGUGAAAUGCGUAGAUAUUAGGAGGAACACCAGUGGCGAAGGCGGCCAACUGGGCUUUUACUGACGCUGAGGCUCGAAAGUGUGGGGAGCAAACAGGAUUAGAUACCCUGGUAGUCCACACCGUAAACGAUGAUUACUAGGUGUGGGGGGACUGACCCCUUCCGUGCCGGAGUUAACACAAUAAGUAAUCCACCUGGGGAGUACGGCCGCAAGGUUGCAACUCAAAUGAAUUGACGGA